AUCAGAUAGUUUAAUGAAUAUAAUAUUAGGGUUAUUAAGGUUUUAUUCUGGUUGU
rnacentral:tRNA from 1 species